UGUCUUUUUGAAGUUAAUUUAAAGUCUAAUCUGCCCACUGAUUUAAUAUUAAAGGGCUGCAGUAUUUUGACUGUACAAAGGUAGCAUAAUCAUUAGUCAUUUAAUUGAUGACUUGUAUGAAAGAUUGGAUGAAGUAUAAUCUGUCUCUUAAUUAAUAAGUAGAAUUUAAUUUUUUGAUUAAAAAGUUAAAAUAGUUUAAAAAGACGAGAAGACCCUAUAGAGUUUUAUAAAUAAGUUAAUUAAUAUUAUUUAUAAAAAUUAAAUUAAAAUUUUUUUAUUUAUUAUAUUGGGGUGAUAGAAAAAUAUAUUUAACUUUUUUUUAUUUAAAACAUUUAUAAGUGAUUAAAUGAUCCAAUAUUAUUGAUUAUAAGAAAAAAUUACCUUAGGGAUAACAGCGUAAUUUUUUUUUUUAGUUCGUAUAAGAAAGAGAGUUUGCGACCUCGAUGUUGGAUUAAGAUAAAAUUUAAAUGUAGAAG
rnacentral:rRNA from 1 species